rnacentral:lncRNA from 1 species
AUAGCCUCUCUACCGUAUAUAGCCUCUCUACCGUAUGCAGCCUCUCUACCGUAUACAGCCUCUCUACCGUAUACAGCCUCUCUACCGUAUACAGCCUCUCUACCGUAUACAGCCUCUCUACCGUAUACAGCCUCUCUACCGUAUACAGCCUCUCUACCGUAUACAGCCUCUCUACCGUAUACAGCCUCUCCACCGUAUAUAGCCUCUCCACCGUAUAUAGCCUCUCCACCGUAUAUAGCCUCUCCACCGUAUAUAGCCUCUCUACCGUAUAUAGCCUCUCUACCGUAUAUAGCCUCUACUGUAUAUAGCCUCUCUACCGUAUACAGCCUCUCCACCGUAUAUAGCCUCUCUACCGUAUAUACGGCCUCUCUACCGUAUAUACGGCCUCUCUACCGUAUAUACGGCCUCUCUACCGUAUAUACGGCCUCUCUACCGUAUAUACGGCCUCUCUACCGUAUAUACGGCCUCUCUACCGUAUAUACGGCCUCUCUACCGUAUAUACGGCCUCUCUACCGUAUAUACGGCCUCUCUACCGUAUAUACGGCCUCUCUACCGUAUAUACGGCCUCUCUACCGUAUAUACGGCCUCUCUACCGUAUAUACGGCCUCUCUACCGUAUAUACGGCCUCUCUACCGUAUAUACGGCCUCUCUACCGUAUAUACGGCCUCUCUACCGUAUAUACGGCCUCUCUACCGUAUAUACGGCCUCUCUACCGUAUACGGCCUCUCUACCGUAUACAGCCUCUCUACCGUAUACAGCCUCUCUACCGUAUACAGCCUCUCUACCGUAUACAGCCUCUCUACCGUAUACAGCCUCUCUACCGUAUACAGCCUCUCUACCGUAUACAGCCUCUCUACCGUAUACAGCCUCUCUACCGUAUACAGCCUCUCUACCGUAUAUAGCCUCUCUACCGUAUAUAGCCUCUCUACUGUAUAUAGCCUCUCUACUGUAUAUAGCCUCUCUACCGUAUAUAUCCUCUCUACCGUAUAUAGCCUCUCUACCGUAUACAGUCUACCGUAUAUUGCCUGUAUACAGUCUCUACUGUAUACAGCCUCUCUACCGUAUACCGUAUACAGCCUCUACUGUAUAUAG